rnacentral:rRNA from 1 species
GACAGAGGUGGCAAGCGUUGUUCGGAUUCAUUGGGUGUAAAGGGCAGGUAGGUGGUCAACUAAGUCUGACGUGAAAUCCCAGGGCUCAACCCUGGAACUGCGUUGGAAACUGAUUGACUUGAGUACUGGAGAGGUGUGGGGAAUUCUCGGUGUAAGGGUGAAAUCUGUAGAUAUCGAGAGGAACACCAGUGGCGAAGGCGCCACACUGGCCGGUUACUGACACUGAGCUGCGAAAGCAAGGGGAGCAAACAGG